GGCGGGUUGGCGUAAUGGUAACGCGCUAGUUUCCGGUACUGACCAGUUGGUCACGUUACCUGUUCGCUAGAGACUCUGGGUUCGAGUCCCAGGCCUGUCG